UAUUGGACAAUGGGGGCAACCCUGAUCCAGCCAUGCCGCGUGAGUGAAGAAGGCCUUAGGGUUGUAAAGCACUUUCAAUUGGGAGGAAAACCUGCCGGUCAAUACCCGGUAGCUUGACAUUACCUUUAGAAGAAGCACCGGCUAACUCCGUGCCAGCAGCCGCGGUAAUACGGAGGGUGCGAGCGUUAAUCGGAAUUACUGGGCGUAAAGCGUGCGUAGGCGGUUCGUUAAGUCAGAUGUGAAAGCCCUGGGCUCAACCUGGGAACGGCAUUUGAAACUGGCGGACUAGAGUUUAGUAGAGGGGAGUGGAAUUUCAGGUGUAGCGGUGAAAUGCGUAGAUAUUUGAAGGAACACCAGUGGCGAAGGCGACUCCCUGGACUAGAACUGACGCUGAGUACGAAG
rnacentral:rRNA from 1 species